AUACAUGGUCGACGCGGGUCAAAACGUAGUAUAUGUUCUUUUCAGCUUAAUACCUAAUACGGGUUGUAUUUGGCUCCAAGAUAUUAAAGCUAUACUUUGCAAGUUGGCGGAGUACUUGAAGCCGGCUUCACCUCUGCCGUGGGUCGGCCCGAUAUUGCACUGCCUUCGGGAUCGGCCCACGCUUU